GAUGAACGCUGGCGGCGUGCCUAAUACAUGCCAGUCGAGCGAACAGACGAGGAGCUUGCUCCUCUGACGUUAGCGGCGGGCGGGUGAGUAACACGUGGAUAACCUACCUAUAAGACUGGGAUAACUUCGGGAAACCGGAGCUAAUACCGGAUAAUAUAUUGAACCGCAUGGUUCAAUAGUGAAAGACGGUUUUGCUGUCACUUAUAGAUGGAUCCGCGCCGCAUUAGCUAGUUGGUAAGGUAACGGCUUACCAAGGCGACGAUGCGUAGCCGACCUGAGAGGGUGAUCGGCCACACUGGAACUGAGACACGGUCCAGACUCCUACGGGAGGCAUCAGUAGGGAAUCUUCCGCAAUGGGCGAAAGCCUGACGGAGCAACGCCGCGUGAGUGAUGAAGGUCUUCGGAUCGUAAAACUCUGUUAUUAGGGAAGAACAAAUGUGUAAGUAACUAUGCACGUCUUGACGGUACCUAAUCAGAAAGCCACGGCUAACUACGUG
rnacentral:rRNA from 1 species